AAGAAAGUGGCUGCCGCCCCGCACAGGGGCAACGCUAAUAGACCAAUAAGAAAACAAGUUUCACGAAAAAAGCCCAAGCAAGCAAACAACAACCUAAACCACCGUCGCCGUCAC
rnacentral:sRNA from 1 species